UAUUGGACAGCCUCUAUAGUUUGC
rnacentral:piRNA from 1 species